rnacentral:rRNA from 1 species
UAAUUUGAGAGUUUGAUCCUGGCUCAGGACGAACGCUGGCGGCGUGCCUAAUACAUGCAAGUCGAACGAACUCUGGUAUUGAUUGGUGCUUGCAUCAUGAUUUACAUUUGAGUGAGUGGCGAACUGGUGAGUAACACGUGGGAAACCUGCCCAGAAGCGGGGGAUAACACCUGGAAACAGAUGCUAAUACCGCAUAACAACUUGGACCGCAUGGUCCANNNNNNNNNNNNNNNNNNNNNNNNNNNNNNNNNNNNNNNNNNNNNNNNNNNNNAGUUUGAAAGAUGGCUUCGGCUAUCACUUUUGGAUGGUCCCGCGGCGUAUUAGCUAGAUGGUGGGGUAACGGCUCACCAUGGCAAUGAUACGUAGCCGACCUGAGAGGGUAAUCGGCCACAUUGGGACUGAGACACGGCCCAAACUCCUACGGGAGGCAGCAGUAGGGAAUCUUCCACAAUGGACGAAAGUCUGAUGGAGCAACGCCGCGUGAGUGAAGAAGGGUUUCGGCUCGUAAAACUCUGUUGUUAAAGAAGAACAUAUCUGAGAGUAACUGUUCAGGUAUUGACGGUAUUUAACCAGAAAGCCACGGCUAACUACGUGCCAGCAGCCGCGGUAAUACGUAGGUGGCAAGCGUUGUCCGGAUUUAUUGGGCGUAAAGCGAGCGCAGGCGGUUUUUUAAGUCUGAUGUGAAAGCCUUCGGCUCAACCGAAGAAGUGCAUCGGAAACUGGGAAACUUGAGUGCAGAAGAGGACAGUGGAACUCCAUGUGUAGCGGUGAAAUGCGUAGAUAUAUGGAAGAACACCAGUGGCGAAGGCGGCUGUCUGGUCUGUAACUGACGCUGAGGCUCGAAAGUAUGGGUAGCAAACAGGAUUAGAUACCCUGGUAGUCCAUACCGUAAACGAUGAAUGCUAAGUGUUGGAGGGUUUCCGCCCUUCAGUGCUGCAGCUAACGCAUUAAGCAUUCCGCCUGGGGAGUACGGCCGCAAGGCUGAAACUCAAAGGAAUUGACGGGGGCCCGCACAAGCGGUGGAGCAUGUGGUUUAAUUCGAAGCUACGCGAAGAACCUUACCAGGUCUUGACAUACUAUGCAAAUCUAAGAGAUUAGACGUUCCCUUCGGGGACAUGGAUACAGGUGGUGCAUGGUUGUCGUCAGCUCGUGUCGUGAGAUGUUGGGUUAAGUCCCGCAACGAGCGCAACCCUUAUUAUCAGUUGCCAGCAUUAAGUUGGGCACUCUGGUGAGACUGCCGGUGACAAACCGGAGGAAGGUGGGGAUGACGUCAAAUCAUCAUGCCCCUUAUGACCUGGGCUACACACGUGCUACAAUGGAUGGUACAACGAGUUGCGAACUCGCGAGAGUAAGCUAAUCUCUUAAAGCCAUUCUCAGUUCGGAUUGUAGGCUGCAACUCGCCUACAUGAAGUCGGAAUCGCUAGUAAUCGCGGAUCAGCAUGCCGCGGUGAAUACGUUCCCGGGCCUUGUACACACCGCCCGUCACACCAUGAGAGUUUGUAACACCCAAAGUCGGUGGGGUAACCUUUUAGGAACCAGCCGCCUAAG